rnacentral:rRNA from 1 species
GACGAACGCUGGCGGCGUGCUUAACACAUGCAAGUCGAACGGAAAGGCCCUGCUUUUGUGGGGUGCUCGAGUGGCGAACGGGUGAGUAACACGUGUGUAACCUGCCCUUGUCUUUGGGAUAUCUUCAGGAAACUGCGGCUAUUAUCGGAUAGGAGCUCCUGCUGCAUGGUGGGGGUUGGAAAGUUUCGGCGGUUGGGGAUGGACUCGCGGCUUAUCAGCUUGUUGGUGGGGUAGUGGCUUACCAAGGCUUUGACGGGUAGCCGGCCUGAGAGGGUGACCGGCCACAUUGGGACUGAGAGACGGCCCAGACGCGUACGGGAGGCAGCAGUGGGGAAUAUUGCACAAUGGGCGGAAGCCUGAGGCAGCAACGCCGCGUGCGGGAUGACGGCCUUCGGGUUGUAAACCGCUGUCGCCUGAGACGAAGCGGGAGUGACGGUAAUGGGUAAAGAAGCACCGGCUAACUACGUG